AGGAGGCAGCAGUGGGGAAUCUUGGUCAAUGGGGGAAACCCUGACCCAGCGACGCCGCGUGCGCGAUGAAGGCCUUCGGGUUGUAAAGCGCUGUCUUCAGGGAAGAACGACGAGGUGAGUAACUGCGCUUCGUGUGACGGUACCUGAGGAGGAAGCCACGGCUAACUACGUGCCAGCAGCCGCGGUAAUACGUAGGUGGCGAGCGUUGUCCGGAAUUACUGGGCGUAAAGGAUGAGUAGGCGGCCUGUUAAGUCGGGUGUGAAACAUCGGGGCUCAACCCCGAUCUUGCACUUGAUACUGGCAGGCUUGAGGGCAGGAGAGGAAUGCGGAAUUCCCGGUGUAGCGGUAAAAUGCGUAGAUAUCGGGAGGAACACCAGUGGCGAAGGCGGCAUUCUGGACUGUACCUGACGCUGAGUCAUGAAAGCUAGGGGAGCGAACGGGAUUAGAUACCCUGGU
rnacentral:rRNA from 1 species